GGAGGUCAAGGAAUUUCACAUAAAAAAAACUUAUGGAUAUCAAUUACCUUGACAUAUCAUCGUAAAGAGCUCGCUUGCGGAGCAGGUAUGAGACACAUGGACCACUGGAAGAGAGGGAGGGGUUACAGGGAGUGUCGGCUUUAAUGGUGUUGGUGAGAUCGGUGUGCCAGAAGUUGCGGUAGUUCUGGCGGAGCUGCAUCUUCUCCAUGUGCUGCUGCGACGCCAUCGACAUCUUUCUUCGCUCGGGCCUCAAUUCAGAAGAAACCUAGCGCUUCGGUAUUUGAAGAAGAAAGACGACGACGACGACGAUGUAGAAGAUGAGAAGUCGAUGCCGGUUCAAGCCAGUUGUAACGAGUCUU